rnacentral:rRNA from 1 species
GCAAGUCGAGCGGACAGAAGGGAGCUUGCUCCCGGAUGUUAGCGGCGGACGGGUGAGUAACACGUGGGUAACCUGCCUGUAAGACUGGGAUAACUCCGGGAAACCGGAGCUAAUACCGGAUAGUUCCUUGAACCGCAUGGUUCAAGGAUGAAAGACGGUUUCGGCUGUCACUUACAGAUGGACCCGCGGCGCAUUAGCUAGUUGGUGAGGUAACGGCUCACCAAGGCGACGAUGCGUAGCCGACCUGAGAGGGUGAUCGGCCACACUGGGACUGAGACACGGCCCAGACUCCUACGGGAGGCAGCAGUAGGGAAUCUUCCGCAAUGGACGAAAGUCUGACGGAGCAACGCCGCGUGAGUGAUGAAGGUUUUCGGAUCGUAAAGCUCUGUUGUUAGGGAAGAACAAGUGCAAGAGUAACUGCUUGCACCUUGACGGUACCUAACCAGAAAGCCACGGCUAACUACGUGCCAGCAGCCGCGGUAAUACUUAUGUGGCAAGCGUUGUCCGGAAUUAUUGGGCGUAAAGGGCUCGCAGGCGGUUUCUUAAGUCUGAUGUGAAAGCCCCCGGCUCAACCGGGGAGGGUCAUUGGAAACUGGUAAACUUGAGUGCANAAGAGGAGAGUGGAAUUCCACGUGUAGCGGUGAAAUGCGUACAGAUGUGGAGGAACACCAGUGGCGAAGGCGACUCUCUGGUCGGUAACUGACGCUGANGGNCGUAAGCGUGCCGAGCGAACACGAUUAGAUACCC